rnacentral:rRNA from 1 species
UGGCGACCGGCGCACGGGUGAGUAACGCGUAUGCAACCUGCCCGAUACCGGGGUAUAGCCCAUGGAAACGUGGAUUAACACCCCAUAGUACUUUUAUCCUGCCUGGGAUGUGAGUUAAAUGUUCAAGGUAUCGGAUGGGCAUGCGUCCUAUUAGUUAGUUGGCGGGGUAACAGCCCACCAAGACGAUGAUAGGUAGGGGUUCUGAGAGGAAGGUCCCCCACACUGGAACUGAGACACGGUCCAG